CGAGCGGCGGACGGGUGAGUAAUGUCUGGGAAACUGCCUGAUGGAGGGGGAUAACUACUGGAAACGGUAGCUAAUACCGCAUAACGUCGCAAGACCAAAGAGGGGGACCUUCGGGCCUCUUGCCAUCAGAUGUGCCCAGAUGGGAUUAGCUAGUAGGUGGGGUAAUGGCUCACCUAGGCGACGAUCCCUAGCUGGUCUGAGAGGAUGACCAGCCACACUGGAACUGAGACACGGUCCAGACUCCUACGGGAGGCAGCAGUGGGGAAUAUUGCACAAUGGGCGCAAGCCUGAUGCAGCCAUGCCGCGUGUAUGAAGAAGGCCUUCGGGUUGUAAAGUACUUUCAGCGAGGAGGAAGGCAUUGAGGUUAAUAACCUCAGUGAUUGACGUUACUCGCAGAAGAAGCACCGGCUAACUCCGUGCCAGCAGCCGCGGUAAUACGGAGGGUGCAAGCGUUAAUCGGAAUUACUGGGCGUAAAGCGCACGCAGGCGGUCUGUCAAGUCGGAUGUGAAAUCCCCGGGCUCAACCUGGGAACUGCAUUCGAAACUGGCAGGCUAGAGUCUUGUAGAGGGGGGUAGAAUUCCAGGUGUAGCGGUGAAAUGCGUAGAGAUCUGGAGGAAUACCGGUGGCGAAGGCGGCCCCCUGGACAAAGACUGACGCUC
rnacentral:rRNA from 2 species